rnacentral:lncRNA from 1 species
GCUAGGAAGGCUUGUGAACUGAAGGAAGAAGAAGGGGGCGGGAAGGAGGAUGGGUAAUUGGGGAAGAAAGCAGCUUCAGAGAGCCCUGAGGUUUUGAAAUGAGCAAAGCAAUCAUAAUCAAACAUUUGCCCAGACCCUGGAACAACAAGCCUAGGAGUUGCCGUGGUCAUGAUGUCUGUCCUGAAACCCUGGGAGAAUGAUUCCUCUGCCCAGCUUCAAUGGUGAUAGAUUACAGACUGAAAUGGAGAGAAGACACGGAGCGCCAUGGUGGGUCAUGCCAGCAGGAAAGAGAUCCUAGGAAG